rnacentral:snoRNA from 1 species
GUGCACAGCGAACACCCAAGGGUGCUGCCGUGGCUCCCCCUGGUCUCUUUAAUCUGUGCUACAUUAAAUCUGAUUUGUACCUCUGCAUUAGGAGAGCCCAUUCCUCUCCUACAUGUAUUCAUCAGAUCAGAAUAAAC